rnacentral:ncRNA from 1 species
GAUAAAAAUCCAUGCUUCUUGGUUGACCCUGCUCAGGUUUUGAAAAGAAUAAAGCACAGAACAUAGCUAUACCAACAACUUUGGCUCUUAUUUUCUUACAGUUUAAAGAAAAUGAAAGCUAAAUUGGUGUGAACAUGAAUGUACAAAGAUUUGGGCUUCCACGGUGCAAUAUGACUGACCCGGUGAGGUGGGGGAGGGGGAGGGGGGCAGGGGGAGGGGAGCCCCGAGGGGCUCUCGCUUCUGGCCCCAAGCGCCCAGCCAUGCGUCGGCCAGGAGUGACCCGCUCCAGGGACAGUGCCAGCUGGGGAGUUUGGGGCGGUACACCUGUCAAACGGUAACGCAGGUGUCCUAAAGCGAGCUCGGGGAGGACAGAAACCUCCCAUGGAGCAGAAGGGCAAAAGCUCGCUUGAUCUUAAUUUUUAGUACGAAUACGGACCGUGAAAGCGGGGCCUCACAAUCCUUCUGAUCUUUGGGGUUUUAAGCAGGAGGUGUCACAAAAUUUACCACAGGGAUAACUGGCUUGUGGGGGCCAAGCAUUCAUAGUGACGUCAUUUUUUGAUCCUUUGAUGUCGGCUCUUCCUAUCAUUGUGAAGCAGAAUUCACCAGGCGUUGGAGUGUUCACCCACUAAUACAGAACGUGAGCUGGGUUUAGACCAUAGUGAGACAGGUUAGUUUUACC